GAGAGUUAAACAGUACGUGAAAUUGUUGAAAGGGAAACGAUUGAAGUCAGUCAUACCAACGGGAAAUCAACCUUUUGAGCUUGGUCUCGUGGGUUUUGAAGAGUUUCAAAGCCUUCGGAUUCGCGGGAUUGGGAUCUCUUGGUGUACUUUUUCGUACGGUUAGUCAACAUCGGUUUUGAAUGUCAUAAAAUGACUGGAGGAAUGUAGCUUCGAUCUCGUAUUGAAGUGUUAUAGCCUUUGGUAGAUGUGAUGUUUGAGACCGAGGAUUGCAACGGAUACCCUUCAGGGCUAUUCGUCUGAUCUCUGAUACGUUGCCCUGAUGUUGAAAGCUUGCUUAUGAUGUUAGGGUAUUACGGUCAAAAGGUUAGAACGAAUUACAUUCGUUAAGGAUGUUGACGUAAUGACUUUAAACGA
rnacentral:rRNA from 1 species